CAGCAGGACAUUCGGCCAUUGAAUAUUAGUGCUGUACGUGUAUGCGAGGAAAAACAAUGGCGAACAGAGCCAUUGGGCUCUAGCAGGCUGGCUCCGCCCCCUCUCAGUCUGACCAAUGCUGGGGCAGGGACAGAGGAAACCAGGAAGCACUAGUUGUGUGGGAGGAAUGAAUCAUCAUUUCUCGGCAUAGAAAAUAUAGUAUUCUGAGGGUCCCUUCAUUCUUACAUUCCUGAGGUCGUUUUGGUCAAACCCCAUUGAAAAUCGGUGAAGUUGACUUUAAUUCUCCAGCAAGUUUUGAGGAGUUUUAAACUUUUUUCCUUUUCUUGAGGAAUAGGUCGGACACGGAAAGGCUGCAUUAACAUCUGAGCUCCUGAUUACCAAGACGCGUCGUCCACUGGGGAAGUGCCUGCUGUUGUUAAACGCAGUGUGGAAUCAGGUUUAAAACACAUUCAGAUCCAGAGCACAAAGAAAACCUGACUUUUUUUUGGAAAGUUCUACAUCAGAGUUGAAGGCGGAUCCGCUCAGCAUGGGCCUUUGGUUCUUUCAAAGCACUCGGCUACACGGAGGGAUUCGUCUGCGGAGGAACUCGGAUGUUUCCCCACAGGAACUAAUGCAGAGCGAAAAACAAACAGAGAAGUUAAAACAAUACAGCGUUGGAAUUUGCAUAAGUCGCUUAGUGCUGCGUUCACACCUGAUUUCCAUUGCACCCAGCGAGGCCAAACGUCAGCGAGCGAAAGGUUUGAAUUUUCAAUAGGAAGGUGCUGACUUCAAGUAGCAGGUGUUUGAAUUGCUGACGAGGACACAACCGUAAACACAACCAGCGCACCAAGACUCGCAAAAGGGACAUUUGAAUUACUUUGCCUUUUUAUUGCACCAUAAUUAAAAUGAAUUCUUUAUUGCUGUUGUUUCUCUUUCUCGACCCUGUUCUUUAUGGUGCUAUUGAUUUAUUGCCGGGUGUUAUUCCAACCCGCGCUGGGCUUGUAAUAGUUUUAGCAUGGAAAAAAGGGGGUAUUUUAGCAUUCACAGCAUCACCCAAAACAUGAGACCCAAGGUUUAUUUGUGUUUUGUUCCCCUGACAGUGUGAUAAAUCUGAAUGGAUUUUUGUUUUGCUUUUUAAAGGAGUGUGCUUUCAGAGAUUGUCGGUAUGUGUCAUCUUGCAUUAAAUCUGAAAGGGCUCAAAGUAAUUGCUUGAGAGCAGGGCAGGUCCUGGGCUGUGGAAAUGUUAUUACUGCCGUGAUUCUUCUGACAGAGAUUAAUCAGGUCUUUAUACCUUAAACGAAAACUAUUUGGAAGAUGGCAGACUUUAGAAGUUGAGGGGCUGCACAUGAAAACACAUUUUGUAUAAUCUGAACUAAAGGCUUGUGAUUGUUACCUAUUGCAGCAG